rnacentral:rRNA from 1 species
GAUGAACGCUGGCGGCGUGCUUAACACAUGCAAGUCGAACGGCAACGCCCUGCUUUUUUGGGGUUCUCGAGUGGCGAACGGGUGAGUAACACGUGAGUAACCUGCCCUUGACUUUCGGAUAACUUCAGGUAACUGGGGCUACUACCGUACCGGAGCCCCCCCUGCAUGGUGGGGGUUGGAAAGUUUCGGCGGUUGGGGAUGGACUCGCGGCUUAUCAGCUUGUUGGUGGGCUAGUGGCUUACCCAGGAUUUGACGGGUAGCCGGCCUGUGAGGGUGGCCGGCGACAUUGGGACUGAGAUACGGCCCAGACUCCUACGGGAGGCAGCAGUGGGGAAUAUUGCACAAUGGGCGGAAGCCUGAGGCAGAAACGCCGCGUGCGGGAUGACGGCCUUCGGGUUGUAAACCGCUUUCGCCUGUGACGAAGCGUGAGUGACGGUAAUGGGUAAAGAAGCACCGGCUAACUACGUG